rnacentral:rRNA from 1 species
GGCGCGCAAAUUACCCACUCCCAGCACGGGGAGGUAGUGACGAAAAAUAACGAUACGGGACUCAUCCGAGGCCCCGUAAUCGGAAUGAGUACACUUUAAAACUUUUCCCGAGGAUCAAUUGGAGGGUAAGUCUGGUGCCAGCAGCCGCGGUAAUUCCAGCUCCAAUAGCGUAUAUUAAAGUUGUUGCGGUUAAAAAGCUCGUAGUCGAAUCUGUGUCCCGCGCCGCUGGUUCAUCGCUCGCGGUGUUCAACUGGCGUGUCUCGCGGGACGUCCUGCCGGUGGGCGCUCGUCCGUUUCGGCGGUCGUGGCCCAACUCGCUUCCGUCUCGCGCGGUUGUGAAUCCCAUCGCGGUGCUCUUUAUUGAGUGUCGAGGUGGGCCGGCACGUUUACUUUGAACAAAUUAGAGUGCUUAAAGCAGGCCAAUUUUGCCUGAAUAUUGUGUGCAUGGAAUAAUGGAAUAGGACCUCGGUUCUAUUUUGUUGGUUUUCGGAACCCCGAGGUAAUGAUUAAUAGGAACGGAUGGGGGCAUUCGUAUUGCGACGUUAGAGGUGAAAUUCUUGGAUCGUCGCAAGACGGACAGAAGCGAAAGCAUUUGCCAAAAACGCUUUCAUUGAUCAAGAACGAAAGUUAGAGGUUCGAAGGCGAUCAGAUACCGCCCUAGUUCUAACCAUAAACGAUGCCAGCUAGCGAUCCGCCGACGUUCCUCCGAUGACUCGGCGGGCAGCUUCCGGGAAACCAAAGCUUUUGGGUUCCGGGGGAAGUAUGGUUGCAAAGCUGAAACUUAAAGGAAUUGACGGAAGGGCACCACCAGGAGUGGAGCCUGCGGCUUAAUUUGACUCAACACGGGACACCUCACCAGGCCCGGACACCGGAAGGAUUGACAGAUUGAGAGCUCUUUCUUGAUUCGGUGGGUGGUGGUGCA